UUACUGUGGUAAACGAGUAGCGGAGUGUCUGAGCUCUUGCCAGUGUCUCCCUCUAGUGGUGGUAAUUGGGAGAUGCAUUCGACGUGACAUAAUAAGUAAAAGUCUCCUGCAUUAAAACAAUUGAAAAUGAGAUUGAUUUGGUCAUUUUAAAGGUUUAAUGGCAAAUUAUGUUAUUUGCUGAAUGUUAAAGCAUUUUAAUUGGACCCUCUCUUAAUGAAAAGUGAUUAUUUGUAUCUGGUGGUGUGGAAUAAAUGAGUAUAUGGUGAUUCAGUGCAUUGAUCCAUACCCUUACAAUGUCUGAAUGUAGAAUGAAAAGUGUAGAUUAUACAAAAAUGAAGUUACAUUAAGCUAGGUACAAUUUACAAACUGAUUAUCUUCACAUUCAUGCUAGGUUACUUCAAUAUCAAUAACACAACCAAACCGCCGAUGGAAGGAUACAGAACCAAGACAUACUUAAUCACUGGAACAUGAACCAUUAUGAUACAAUCAUGCCUAAGAACAAGUUGACAAGAUUUUACCAACCAAAUUGUUUUUUAACCAUUGUUGAGUGAGACAUUAAGCAGGGCUUUAUAACUGGACCCCUUGAGGGUUUUGAAUUUGUUCUCUCCGGGCUCACGUGGUUGGUGGUCUUUUCUGGCUUAGCGAUGGUCCUAGUCAGGGAGUUGCUCCUUCCCCUUAGACCUUUGAACUCUGGUGUCCGAGCGGCGCCUUGGUCUACUUGGUCUCCAUGGUCCCUGGCUCUCUGCCAAGAAUGGCCGCCACCAAGGGAAGGCAGCGGAGCUGGCUGAGCCGUAGCCUCGCCCUCUAGCUCAUCUCUUCUCCCCGUCCUAUUUCUCGGCACGGAUUGGCUCCGCCUCUUUGGCGUGGUCGAUCUUUCCUGACUCCUUUCCUUCUCCCGACUCCUUUCCUCCUCCUGGCUCCUCCCCGUUCUCCUCCCAUACUCCAGCGGCUGCCACUCAGUAGGCCUCGGCUGCAUGACCCUCUCCUUCAGCUCGUCACAUGACGACCGCGGUCCAAUCAGGUGGACGGCUCCGCCCAUCUGUCUGAUGAGCACCGACGGGUAGUUGUGUUUCAGCUCCUGGAUGCGCUUGCCGAUGCGCACUUGGACUUCGUGGCUGAGGUCGCUCAGGUGAAUCUGGCGGGUGUGUAGCUCGCUUUCGAGCUUGGACAGAAAUCGUCGGAGAUCGGCCGCGGCGUCUUGUGCGCGCCACCCGUUAAAGAGACCCCGCUCACGUCGGUAUCCAUGGCAACCGCCUCCAUCUCGACGCCAUGGCCCUGCAGGAUGUCGUCCAUGCCGAGCUUCUUGAGGCGCUGGGCGUAGUCCAACACGACUGAGGACAAGAUGAAGGUCUCAGUGGGCAGUUUCUUGGGAGGCGUGUGCCUACUGUCUCCUGGACCAAUCACUGGUAAGGAGGAGGGGGAUCUGGAGGAAGAGGGGUUGGGGGAAGGGCUAUCGAGGGAACGUGGGUCUGUGGAUCUCCAGUGGUUUUGUUGCCUACUGUCUCCUGGACCAAUCGCUGAUAAGGAGGAGGAUCUGGAGGAAGAGGGGGUAGGGGAAGGGCUAUCAAGGGAACGUGGGUCUGUGGAUCUCCAGUGGUUUUGUUGCCUACUGUCUCCUGGACCAAUCGCUGAUAUGGAGGAGGAUCUGGAGGAAGAGGGGGUAGGGGAAGGGCUAUCAAGGGAACGUGGUUCUGUGGAUCUCCAGUGGUUUUGUUGAGCUUGCGCUGAGCUGCCAUUGGUGGAGUUCCUGGAAUCGGCACCAGGGGGCGACAUACUUUGUCCCAGUGAGGAUGAGGAUGAGGAGGGUCGGGUCAGGCUUGAGGUCUGUGCUUCCAGCAUCUUCUGGGUUUCGGCCUUGAACGACCUCAGCAUCAUCAUGGAGCCCUCAACUCGUACCAGGCUGCCUCGAAUGCCGAUGAUCUUAAGGCCAUGCAUCUUCAUAAGUCGACUCAGAUCCUUCUUAUCAUCGAUCAUGCUUAUGUUCAGGGUGGCCUCCACUGGCAGGUCAAGCUUAUUACAAGGUAAAAACAAACAGUAGCACACACAAACUGAUUAAAACGUGUCUUGCAGACACACACUCCCUAACAUCUCAAAGUGUGUUAAAACUUUAUAAUGUGAUUGUGGUUAUGGUUUACCUCGGGUCUGUCGACAGGUUUCACCUCCACAGGAAAUUUUCGGUCCCCAAAUUCCAGUUCAUGGUGGCUCUUUUGUAGGACGCGGGAAGCGUCUGUAGGGGGUAAUACAACUUUGUUUGUAACCAAGUCAACAAUAUUUGCCCUUUAUGGUCCAAUAUCCUGACCGAACGAACACGUAUUUAAU
ensembl:lncRNA